UCUCACUAAUUCAGGUCGAGCACCUGCACCACGACGGCGGCAGUCACUAUACGGAUAUCAGGCCAGUUGCAUAUUUCUUGCCUAAUAUUUUUAUUUAUUGUUGCAGACUGGGGAAGGAUGCCGAAGAUGUAGAGGUUGUUGCCCCAGUGACGCUGGAGCCCAUUCAAAGGAACAGAAGAUGCGCGUUUUUCCUCCUGACCAUUUGAGUGGUGUUCUGUGCAAUUUAUGCUUGUUUUGAAAAUUUGGUUAUAGACGUCGAAUUUAUCUCCAAUCAUCUGUUGUACUAUAUCUUCUACAAUCUUUCAUAUUUUAGCAUGAAUUUUUUAAAAUUUGUGGUAGGAAGCUUGUAUGCCAUUCAUGGAUUGGACAACAUACAUGUGCUAUUUUCUUUUGAUUAUCCCCUUCCAGACUGUUCGGGGUUUCUAGAUCAGAAUAGUUUGUCCAAUAUACCUCUUUGGAUCUCAGAGAAUUCAGAAUAAGUUCUUACAACAAUCCUUACU
rnacentral:lncRNA from 1 species